GGGUACUUGAUUCUCACUGUUUGCGAUACACAGCAAGCGGCUUAGCGAAAGCGUUAAGUAAUCCACCUGGGGAGUACGUUCGCAAGAAUGAAACUCAAAGGAAUUGACGGGGGCCCGCACAAGCGGAGGAACAUGUGGUUUAAUUCGAUGAUACGCGAGGAACCUUACCCGGGCUUGAAAUGCAUCUGACCGGCACAGAGACGUGCCUUCCCUUCGGGGCAGAUGUGUAGGUGCUGCAUGGUUGUCGUCAGCUCGUGCCGUGAGGUGUCGGCUUAAGUGCCAUAACGAGCGCAACCCUCAUUGUUAGUUACCAUCAGGUUAAGCUGGGGACUCUAACGAGACUGCCAUCGUAAGAUGUGAGGAAGGUGGGGAUGACGUCAAAUCAGCACGGCCCUUACGUCCGGGGCGACACACGUGUUACAAUGGGUGGUACAAAGGGCAGCUACAUGGCGACAUGAUGCUAAUCUCCAAAACCACUCUCAGUUCGGAUCGAAGUCUGCAACUCGACUUCGUGAAGCUGGAUUCGCUAGUAAUCGCGCAUCAGCCACGGCGCGGUGAAUACGUUCCCGGGCCUUGUACACACCGCCCGUCAAGCCAUGGAAGCUGGGGGUACCUGAAGUCCGUAACCGUAAGGAGCGGCCUAGGGUAAAACUAGUGACUGGGGCUAAGUCGUAACAAGGUAA
rnacentral:rRNA from 1 species